CGCGCUACACUGACAGAGCCAACGAGUACAUCACCUUGGCCGAAAGGUCUGGGUAAUCUUGUUAAACUCUGUCGUGCUGGGGAUAGAGCAUUGCAAUUAUUGCUCUUCAACGAGGAAUUCCUAGUAAGCGCAAGUCAUCAGCUUGCGUUGAUUACGUCCCUGCCCUUUGUACACACCGCCCGUCGCUACUACCGAUUGAAUGGCUUAGUGAGGCUUUCGGACUGGCCGACGGACAGCGGCAACGCUGACUGUUGGACGGAAAGUUAGUCAAACUUGGUCAUUUAGAGGAAGUAAAAGUCGUAACAAGGUUUCCGUAGGUGAACCUGCGGAAGGAUCAUUAAAAAAGCAUCGCACAGGGUGAAAAGCUCCUGGGAAGAGUGGUCGGUGCGCAAAACAACACCCAAGGACCCAUUAGAUGGCAUAUCUGAGGCCGCCACCUCAAAAAUACUCCGGAAUAAAAUCCAGCCCUAAAAUAUAAAAUGUCUGGGCUGGUAACGGACCAACAGGUGGCUGCCUUCUUUAUCGCCUCCACCGGCCAAAUUCCAUGGCCGGUGGUAGUCCAACAAAGGUGGCGUGCCGAUCGCGAAACCCGGUUGAGCGAGUAGCCCAUCGUGGAAAACAUGCAAUUCUCCUGUGUACCUUUUACUUGUUGCUUCCCUGGCCAUGCCAGGGAAGGUAUAUACAAACUCUGUUUUCUUUGAAGUUGGUCUGAACUUGUUUAUUCAUAAACGUUAAAACUUUCAACAACGGAUCUCUUGGUUCUCGCAUCGAUGAAGAACGCAGCGAAAUGCGAUAAGUAGUGUGAAUUGCAGAAUUCAGUGAAUCAUCGAAUCUUUGAACGCACAUUGCGCCCUCUGGUAUUCCGGGGGGCAUGCCUGUUCGAGCGUCAUCAAAACCUCUCAGGUGUUGGUUUCGUACCAACUCCUGGUCAUGGAACUGGAGGUGCACCGCACCUUCUUUCCGAAAUCCAGUGGCGAAUUGAGCAUGCUGUAGACGUAGUAACACAUACCCGUUAGCAACAUGUUCACAUUCCGCCAUAACCCCCCUCUAUUUUCUAGUUUGACCUCGGAUCACGUAGGGAUACCCGCUGAACUUAAGCAUAU
rnacentral:rRNA from 1 species